UGACUGCGUACCUUUUGUAUAAUGGGUCAGCGACUUAUAUUCUGUAGCAAGGUUAACCGAAUAGGGGAGCCGAAGGGAAACCGAGUCUUAACUGGGCGUUAAGUUGCAGGGUAUAGACCCGAAACCCGGUGAUCUAGCCAUGGGCAGGUUGAAGGUUGGGUAACACUAACUGGAGGACCGAACCGACUAAUGUUGAAAAAUUAGCGGAUGACUUGUGGCUGGGGGUGAAAGGCCAAUCAAACCGGGAGAUAGCUGGUUCUCCCCGAAAGCUAUUUAGGUAGCGCCUCGUGAAUUCAUCUCCGGGGGUAGAGCACUGUUUCGGCAAGGGGGUCAUCCCGACUUACCAACCCGAUGCAAACUGCGAAUACCGGAGAAUGUUAUCACGGGAGACACACGGCGGGUGCUAACGUCCGUCGUGAAGAGGGAAACAACCCAGACCGCCAGCUAAGGUCCCAAAGUCAUGGUUAAGUGGGAAACGAUGUGGGAAGGCCCAGACAGCCAGGAUGUUGGCUUAGAAGCAGCCAUCAUUUAAAGAAAGCGUAAUAGCUCACUGGUCGAGUCGGCCUGCGCGGAAGAUGUAACGGGGCUAAACCAUGCACCGAAGCUGCGGCAGCGACACUAUGUGUUGUUGGGUAGGGGAGCGUUCUGUAAGCCUGUGAAGGUGUACUGUGAGGUAUGCUGGAGGUAUCAGAAGUGCGAAUGCUGACAUAAGUAACGAUAAAGCGGGUGAAAAGCCCGCUCGCCGGAAGACCAAGGGUUCCUGUCCAACGUUAAUCGGGGCAGGGUGAGUCGACCCCUAAGGCGAGGCCGAAAGGCGUAGUCGAUGGGAAACAGGUUAAUAUUCCUGUACUUGGUGUUACUGCGAAGGGGGGACGGAGAAGGCUAUGUUGGCCGGGCGACGGUUGUCCCGGUUUAAGCGUGUAGGCUGGUUUUCCAGGCAAAUCCGGAAAAUCAAGGCUGAGGCGUGAUGACGAGGCACUACGGUGCUGAAGCGACAAAUGCCCUGCUUCCAGGAAAAGCCUCUAAGCAUCAGGUAACAUCAAAUCGUACCCCAAACCGACACAGGUGGUCAGGUAGAGAAUACCAAGGCGCUUGAGAGAACUCGGGUGAAGGAACUAGGCAAAAUGGUGCCGUAACUUCGGGAGAAGGCACGCUGAUAUGUAGGUGAAGCGACUUGCUCGUGGAGCUGAAAUCAGUCGAAGAUACCAGCUGGCUGCAACUGUUUAUUAAAAACACAGCACUGUGCAAACACGAAAGUGGACGUAUACGGUGUGACGCCUGCCCGGUGCCGGAAGGUUAAUUGAUGGGGUUAGCGGUAACGCGAAGCUCUUGAUCGAAGCCCCGGUAAACGGCGGCCGUAACUAUAACGGUCCUAAGGUAGCGAAAUUCCUUGUCGGGUAAGUUCCGACCUGCACGAAUGGCGUAAUGAUGGCCAGGCUGUCUCCACCCGAGACUCAGUGAAAUUGAACUCGCUGUGAAGAUGCAGUGUACCCGCGGCAAGACGGAAAGACCCCGUGAACCUUUACUAUAGCUUGACACUGAACAUUGAGCCUUGAUGUGUAGGAUAGGUGGGAGGCUUUGAAGUGUGGACGCCAGUCUGCAUGGAGCCGACCUUGAAAUACCACCCUUUAAUGUUUGAUGUUCUAACGUGGGCCCCUUACCGGGGUUGCGGACAGUGUCUGGUGGGUAGUUUGACUGGGGCGGUCUCCUCCUAAAGAGUAACGGAGGAGCACGAAGGUUGGCUAAUCCUGGUCGGACAUCAGGAGGUUAGUGCAAUGGCAUAAGCCAGCUUGACUGCGAGCGUGACGGCGCGAGCAGGUGCGAAAGCAGGUCAUAGUGAUCCGGUGGUUCUGAAUGGAAGGGCCAUCGCUCAACGGAUAAAAGGUACUCCGGGGAUAACAGGCUGAUACCGCCCAAGAGUUCAUAUCGACGGCGGUGUUUGGCACCUCGAUGUCGGCUCAUCACAUCCUGGGGCUGAAGUAGGUCCCAAGGGUAUGGCUGUUCGCCAUUUAAAGUGGUACGCGAGCUGGGUUUAGAACGUCGUGAGACAGUUCGGUCCCUAUCUGCCGUGGGCGCUGGAGAACUGAGGGGGGCUGCUCCUAGUACGAGAGGACCGGAGUGGACGCAUCACUGGUGUUCGGGUUGUCAUGCCAAUGGCACUGCCCGGUAGCUAAAUGCGGAAGAGAUAAGUGCUGAAAGCAUCUAAGCACGAAACUUGCCCCGAGAUGAGUUCUCCCUGACUCCUUGA
rnacentral:rRNA from 1 species